UUUAGCUUUUAGGGAAGCUGUUAUUUUGUCCAGAAGACGUGGUUGGAGUUCAGUCAUCUUUUAAGUGAUGCUCUGGUUGUGGUUCAAGCUCUUCGGGAAAUGUCUACCAUGCUGGAGAUUCAAGAUAUUGUAAAUGAUGCUUUGCAAUUUAGUCAAGGCUUAGAUCAGUUCUCAUUUAAUUUUGUCAAAAGAUCAUGUAAUUUUGCUGCUCAUUGUCUUGCACAGAAACCGCUUUAUGACCAGUUGUUUCUGUGCAAUCCCAUGACAUAGGCUGCUUUCUUUUGUUCGUUGAUGCUGUUGGGCUUUCUUUGAAAUGAUAUCUUUCGUUAAAAUAAAAUAAAAUAAAAAAGUGUUGUAUUACUUGGCCAAAAUGGUCACAUGCCAG
rnacentral:misc_RNA from 1 species